UUUUUUCGUUUUUCUUUCUUAAUUACCGUGAAUCAAGAUGAGUGUUGUGGUGUAUCUUGUUGCGUUGUUCUGCAUUGGUGAUUUUCGUUGUAUCUUUUCUUGUAUAAUGGAAAGAAAACGUAAAAGAAACCUAAUAGGACAAUGGUGUAUGGACAAAAUCCGAUAUGGAAACCAAGGAACUAGAAUAGAAACUUGUACAUACUUUAAUUUUAUGAGAAAAAAAAAAUGACAAAAUCUCUUAUACAAAGCCUUUCUCGCCCUUUUGCAAUACUCAAGGAUUUGUAUAGUAAAUUCUUGCAAUACUGAAGUAUGCUGUUUGGUAUU
rnacentral:lncRNA from 1 species